UCAACUGUUCAACCAGAAUCUUACCCCUCUUUCUAAGGUUACCAAUUAUAAACUUUCUGCCUCUUGCUGCCUCCCGAGCAAAUAAUGCAAUUCUAUGAGAGGCAUUCGAUUUCCAAAUUUGUUUCCAAGAGAAACCACUUAAAACAGAAGAUGGGCAGGAAGAGGAAGUAGAAAGAUUUCACACUGACGAAGCUAUUAGCCUUCAACUUCCAAAGAGGUUCGUCGUGCCCCGUACAAUCCAUAGAACAAAAGGGAUAAAUGGUGCAAAAGGAUGACAAUUCUCCUCCACCUUCCAAUCAUUCAAAUUCCUAAAAAGAUCCACCUCCCACACUGACAUGACCAGCAGUCACAGAGAAAUGUUCAUUCACCAAAGCCUCUUUUCCUCUAGCUAAAGAGGAAAUAACCGGGAAUCAAUGCUGCAAUGACCCACCAUUACCCCGUUCCUCUUUCCAAAACCUCAUCCUACUCCCAGGGUCAACCUUCAACCGAACAUACCCAUAAAAUUCUUCCUAUCCCAAGUUUAUACUUUACAAAGACAUUCCCACGAGGCUCUCUAGAUCAAUUGAUCCUCCACCCCCUCUCACGACGUACUGCAUACUGUGCAUGCAUCCCAACAAGCAGCUACUUUAGCCAGCGCAUCAGUUUUCAUAUCUCCAUUUGUUCAAAGUAGUGCUCUUAAUGGAGCUUCAAAAAUAGAAUUGAAGCUAGUGUUAUCUAGAUGUAUUUGCCUGGCACUCAAGCCUCUCAAGAGUGAUUUCAUACUAGGAGAUUACAUUGCGAAGAUAACAUUAUCUUUUUCCCACUAUAUAAAGAUGUAGAUUAAAAGUAUAGCUACCUAACAAUGGUGGCAAUCAUUAAAGUUGUUUCAGCGCUGCAAAAUUGUCAAAGGAUAAUAUUUCACAAGCCAAAUAAUCUAUUCCUUGAAAAUAUUUGUUUCGGUAAAUAAAUUAAAAUAUAAACACCUUACUCUCGACACUUCACAAGUCAAAUGACAAACUUCUAGCAAGUGUUUUGGAAAUAAAAGAAACCAAGUAAAUAACCCAUUAGGAAACAAAUAUGUAGACUGUAUAUAGAUCAUGUACUCGGUCCUUUACAGAGAGCGAAUAACUUUAAUAACCCAUUAGCUCAAUAAACCCACAGGUCAGUAAAACAGACAGACAAAGUAAGAGUAAACGUUAGUUCCUAAAAUCAAUUAGAACAGCAAAGAAACAGAAAAAUACAAAAGCAAACGAUUGAAGAAGAGUUAAAACGAAAUGGAAGUUGAAGAACGCGGAUAGUUUAUAGAAUGAAAGGGUACAGACCAUGCCGUCAUCGAUCUCUUCCGGGGCGGCAGAGCUGGACCCAAGCCUGGCUCUCUGCAUCGCUUUGUAAGCUUGGUUUUUGCCCAUGUUGGGGAAAUCCGAGAAACCUCUAGGGAAAAUUGAGAGUUGGGGGAAAGAAACUGAGGGAAAAUUUUAUGAAAGAUAUUUUGAGUAGGGAAUUAACGGUUCGAAAAGCAUGUUUGGGGAGAGAGAAUAAAGGGAUUUCUAUUGGGGAGAGAGGGAGAGAUAGAGAUGGGAAUUGGGAGGAUAAUUAGGGAUUUACGAAGGUAUUUGCAGGAAGAUCAGAGUUUGUUUAAUCAGAGAAAAUGAAGGCAUUGUUUUGGUGAAGAAAAAUUAUUACGACAUAUUAUUAUUAUUUUUUUUAAUUAUGA
rnacentral:lncRNA from 1 species